UACGUAGGGGGCGAGCGUUGUCCGGAUUCAUUGGGCGUAAAGCGCUCGUAGGCGGUUUGGCAAGUCGGGUGUGAAACCUCCAGGCUCAACCUGGAGACGCCACCCGAGACUGCUAUGACUAGAGUCUGGUAGGGGACCACGGAAUACCUGGUGUAGCGGUGAAAUGCGCAGAUAUCGGGAGGAACACCGGUGGCGAAGGCGGUUCUCUGGGCCUGUACUGACGCUGAGGAGCGAAAGCGUGGGGAGCGAACAGG
rnacentral:rRNA from 1 species